rnacentral:rRNA from 1 species
GACGAACGCUGGCGGCGUGCUUAACACAUGCAAGUCGAACGGAAAGGCCCUGCUUUUGUGGGGUGCUCGAGUGGAGCACGGGUGUGUCACACGUGUAAAACCUGCUCUUGACUUUGGGAUAACUUCAGGAAACUGGGGCUAAUACCGGAUAGGAGCUCCUGCUGCAUGGUGGGGGUUGGAAAGUUUCGGCGGUUGGGGAUGGACUCGCGGCUUAUCAGCUUGUUGGUGGGGUAGUGGCUUACCAAGGCUUUGACGGGUAGCCGGCCUGAGAGGGUGACCGGCCACAUUGGGACUGAGAUACGGCCCAGACUCCUACGGGAGGCAGCAGUGGGGAAUAUUGCACAAUGGGCGGAAGCCUGAUGCAGCAACGCCGCGUGCGGGAUGACGGCCUUCGGGUUGUAAACCGCUUUCGCCUGUGACGAAGCGUGAGUGACGGUAAUGGGUAAAGAAGCACCGGCUAACUACGUG